GUGGAAUAGCCUUCCGAAAGGAAGAUUAAUACCGCAUAAUGUUGAAAGAUGGCAUCAUCAUUCAACCAAAGGAGCAAUCCGCUAUGAGAUGGACCCGCGGCGCAUUAGCUAGUUGGUGGGGUAACGGCCUACCAAGGCGACGAUGCGUAGCCGACCUGAGAGGGUGAUCGGCCACAUUGGGACUGAGACACGGCCCAGACUCCUACGGGAGGCAGCAGUGGGGAAUAUUGCACAAUGGGGGAAACCCUGAUGCAGCAACGCCGCGUGAGUGAUGAAGGUUUUCGGAUCGUAAAGCUCUGUCUUUGGGGAAGAUAAUGACGGUACCCAAGGAGGAAGCCACGGCUAACUACGUGCCAGCAGCCGCGGUAAUACGUAGGUGGCGAGCGUUAUCCGGAUUUACUGGGCGUAAAGGGAGCGUAGGCGGAUGAUUAAGUGGGAUGUG
rnacentral:rRNA from 1 species